CCUACGGGUGGCAGCAGUGGGGAAUAUUGCACAAUGGGGGAAACCCUGAUGCAGCAACGCCGCGUGAGUGAAGAAGUAGUUCGGUAUGUAAAGCUCUAUCAGCAGGGAAGAAGGUGACGGUACCUGUGAAAGAAGCCCCGGCUAACUACGUGCCAGCAGCCGCGGUAAUACGAAGGGGGAAAGCGUUAUCCGGAUUUAAUGGGUGUAAAGGGAGCGUAGACGGUGGGACAAGUCUGAAGUGAAAGCCCGGGGCUCAACCCCGGGACUGCUUUGGAUACUGACUGACGGGAGUGCUGGAGAGGCGAGCAGAAUUCCUAGUGUAGCGGUGAAAUGCGUAGAUAUGAGGAAGAACACCAGUGGCGAAGGCGGCCUGCUGGACAGUAACUGACGUUCAGGCUCGAAAGCGUGGGGAGCAAACAGGAUUAGAUACCCGUGUAGUC
rnacentral:rRNA from 1 species